UAGGAUGCGUACAUGAAAGAAAGAGAAAAUCAAGAUUCACUUUCUUGUUUUCAAGAAAAUCAAGAAACUGAAUUUUGGCCCAAUCUUGCUAUUUGGAGCUAUUUCAAGAAUCAAGAAAAUCAAGAUUUGAAAUCUUGGAAAUCUUGGUCCAAGAAACCAAAUCUUGCAGCCAAAGCGCAUUGGAUCUCUGUUAUGAGCAUCAACGAACCAAUUUCUAUAGAAGAUGGAAUACAAGCCCAAGUUCUUGAAGGCAAGGCCCAAUAAGAUGACUCCAAGCCCAAACAAGAAUACAAACCAUACUUACUUGAAAAUCAGGC
rnacentral:lncRNA from 1 species